GACGAACGCUGGCGGCGUGCUUAACACAUGCAAGUCGAACGGUAAGGCCCUUCGGGAUACACGAGUGGCGAACGGGUGGGUAACACGUGGGUGAUCUGCCCUGCACUCCGGGAUAAGCCUGGGAAACUGGGUCUAAUACCGGAUAGGACCACUGCCUGCAUGGGUGGUGGUGGAAAGCUUUUGCGGUGUGGGAUGGGCCCGCGGCCUAUCCGCUUGUUGGUGGGGUGAUGGCCUACCAAGGCGACGACGGGUAGCCGGCCUGAGAGGGUGACCGGCCACACUGGGACUGAGAUACGGCCCAGACUCCUACGGGAGGCAGCAGUGGGGAAUAUUGCACAAUGGGCGCAAGCCUGAUGCAGCGACGCCGCGUGAGGGAUGACGGCCUUCGGGUUGUAAACCUCUUUCAGCACCGACGAAGCGCAAGUGACGGUAGGUGCAGAAGAAGGACCGGCCAACUACGUGCCAGCAGCCGCCGUAA
rnacentral:rRNA from 1 species